UUAAGCAUAUCAAUAAGCGGAGGAAAAGAAACUAACAAGGAUUCCCCUAGUAACUGCGAGUGAAGCGGGAAAAGCUCAAAUUUGAAAUCUGGCGGUUCUUGACCGUCCGAGUUGUAAUCUAGAGAAGUGUUACCUGUGCUGGACCGUGUACAAGUCUCCUGGAAUGGAGCAUCAUAGAGGGUGAGAAUCCCGUCUUUGACACGGACUGCCUGUACAUUAUGGUGUGCUCUCAAAGAGUCGAGUUGUUUGGGAAUGCAGCUCAAAAUGGGUGGUAAAUGCCAUCUAAAGCUAAAUAUUGGCGAGAGACCGAUAGCGAACAAGUACCGUGAGGGAAAGAUGAAAAGAACUUUGGAAAGAGAGUUAAACAGUACGUGAAAUUGCUGAAAGGGAAACGCUUGAAGUCAGUCGCGUUGGCUAGAAAUCAACCUUGCUUUUGCUUUGUGUACUUUCUGGUUGACGGGUCAGCAUCAAUUUUGACCACUGGAUAAAGUCUUUGGGAAUGUGGCAUCUUCGGAUGUGUUAUAGCCCAUUGUCGCAUACGGUGGUUGGGAUUGAGGAACUCAGCACGCCGCAAGGCCGGGAUUUGACCACGUUCGUGCUUAGGAUGCUGGCAUAAUGGCUUUAAUCGACCCGUCUUGAAACACGGACCAAGGAGUCUAACAUGCCUGCGAGUG
rnacentral:rRNA from 1 species